CUCCGGGAAGUAGCACAUUUGGUUCCUGGUUUCCUAAGGUAGAAACUAGGGAUGCAUCAUUUAGUAAGCUAGGUUAAUGAGGACUUGACUCUAGAGAUUAGGCUCGCCGAGGCAUUCCAGUAGAUGCUACAGAUUAACGGUGAGGAUGCUUAGAGGUCUCCGGGAGAGUAGGAUGUGAGCCAAAGGCACCAAUUCUACCCCUCCAGGCCUUAAGGAUGCAGUGUAGGAAAGUAGAAUCCUGUCUGUGGCUUCAAGGUUUACACGAGGUGCUGGCAGCAAUGAAGAUAGACUACUGAAACACUGGAAUUUUGUCAGGAGUCUCAUGCUGCAAAAAAGAGAAAGGCUGGAAGUCAGGCGCAGCCAGGGGAGGAACUCAGUCUCCCUGGAAGAGAUCACGCAGCUCUGGAAGCUUGUCAGACCGACCACCUUUCGGGAGAGACUGUGAUGCUGCUGCUGGGAGGACCACAACCUGACCAGGGUCUCUGUGUUCUGGAUGCUUCUUGCCCUCUAUUUAAACCUAAACCUCGUAACACAGGACCCAUCAGAGGAAGGUGGGGUGAGGGUCGCUGGACUUUUAUUCGUUCCUCUUGCCAGUGUGACCACAUUGAAAUAAAUCUUUUUUGUCUUUUCA